AUACACGACUGUCAAGUGUAAACAACUAAGCUUCGUUUUCACAACCCGAUUAUACCCUUUCCCCCUCACGCGUCGGUGCUCCGAAAUCCCAUGGCGGAGCAAUCGGAGAAGCAGCCCAAAUCCAUCCCUCCCUACAUGAAGGCUGCUUCCGGUUCAUUCGGCGGCGUAGUCGAAGCCUCGUGCCUGCAGCCAAUUGACGUCAUCAAAACCCGCCUCCAGCUCGACCGCACCGGUUCGUACAAGGGGAUCCUCCACUGCGGCUCCACCAUCGUCCGCAACGAAGGCGUCCGCGCAUUGUGGAAGGGCUUGACUCCUUUCUCUACGCAUUUGACGCUUAAAUACGCGCUCCGGAUGGGCUCCAAUGCCUACCUUCAGUCAGCCUUCAAGGACUCCGAGACGGGGGAGCUCAGCCACCAUGGCCGAUUAUUGUCUGGAUUCGGUGCCGGAGUGCUCGAAGCUCUCGUUAUCGUCACUCCAUUUGAGGUGGUGAAAAUUCGACUGCAGCAGCAGAGAGGAUUGAGUCCCGAACUCUUCAAGUACAAGGGACCUGUACAUUGUGCUCGUAUGAUUGUCCGUGAAGAAGGGUUGCGUGGUCUGUGGGCUGGAGCUUCCCCAACUGUGAUGCGUAAUGGAACAAACCAGGCUGCCAUGUUCAGUGCUAAAAAUGCAUUUGACGGGUUAUUGUGGGGGAGACGCGAAGGUGAUGGGAAAAUGCUCCUACCUUGGCAGUCUAUGAUAUCGGGAUUUCUUGCUGGAACUGCUGGUCCAGUAUGUACUGGGCCCUUUGAUGUCGUGAAAACAAGGCUCAUGGCUCAAAGCAAAUCGAGCGGGUUGAAAUACAGAGGUAUGUUUCAUUGUAUCACAACUAUAUAUGCUGAGGAGGGAAUUCUUGCAUUGUGGAAAGGAUUAUUGCCAAGGUUAAUGAGGAUCCCGCCCGGGCAGGCGAUCAUGUGGGCUGUGGCUGAUCAGAUAACUGGAUUUUACGAGAGGCGAUACCUACAAGCCUAUUGAGCAUUUUGUAAUUCACUUGGAAGUGAAAGUUUCAGAGUUUUUGAUGCCCUUUAUCUCGUGUAGAACUCGACAACAUGCCCUUGUUUCAGCAGCCCAUGCGCGGAUGUGGCAUGCGACUGUCUUGGGUCUUGGCCAAUCGCGCGCAAUAUACCCUGCUUCUGCCCGCUUAGAUGUGGGUGCAUCUAACAAUUUUGGAAAUUUCCAAAUUUCUAUCUCCAUUUUACGUAUAAUUUCCACAUAAUUUCCACUGAAGAUCUCUUCUUUUAUUUUAGCUCCACAUGGAAAAAACGAUUGUUCUGCUCUUUUAAUUUUUUUUUAUCUACUAGGCUGUGCUUCCCCCCAUUUUAGUUGUUUUGUUAACGUGUUUGCUUGAGUGAAAUUGCCCACAAAUUAUUACUGCUUACUGCUCUGAUGCCUUUUAGAGCAUCUUCAA